AGGGAUCAGUAGAGUGGCAAACGGGUGAGUAACACGUGGGUGACCUGCCUUCGAGUGGGGGAUAACGUCCCGAAAGGGACGCUAAUACCGCAUGACAUCCUGCCUUUGAAGAGGUGGAGCUUAAAGCUGGGGAUCGCAAGACCUAGCGCUUGAAGAGGGGCCCGCGCCUGAUUAGCUAGUUGGUGAGGUAACGGCUCACCAAGGCAACGAUCAGUAUCCGGCCUGAGAGGGCGGACGGACACACUGGGACUGAGACACGGCCCAGACUCCUACGGGAGGCAGCAGUGGGGAAUUGUUCGCAAUGGGCGCAAGCCUGACGACGCAACGCCGCGUGGAGGAUGAAGACCUUCGGGUCGUAAACUCCUUUCGAUCGAGACGAACGGCUUCCGGGUGAACAAUCCGGAAGAGUGACGGUACCGAGAGAAGAAGCCCCGGCUAACUCCGUGCCAGCAGCCGCGGUAAUACGGGGGGGGCAAGCGUUGUUCGGAAUUACUGGGCGUAAAGGGCUCGUAGGCGGCCAACUAAGUCAGACGUGAAAUCCCUCGGCUUAACCGGGGAACUGCGUCUGAUACUGGAUGGCUUGAGAUUGGGAGAGGGAUGCGGAAUUCCAGGUGUAGCGGUGAAAUGCGUAGAUAUCUGGAGGAACACCGGUGGCGAAGGCGGCAUCCUGGACCAACACUGACGCUGAGGAGCGAAAGCCAGGGGAGCAAACGGGAUUAGAUACCCCGGUAGUCCUGGCCCUAAACGAUGAAUGCUUGGUGUGGCGGGUAUCGAUCCCUGCCGUGCCGAAGCUAACG
rnacentral:rRNA from 1 species